ensembl:lincRNA
AGAAUUUAUAAAGUGCUUUGAAAGCUACAUGGUCCCUGAAAUUUACAAAGGACCCACAGUCAGGGAAGUCUACUGGACAUAUGGGGAAACUGAGGCACCACAGUGGGCAGGGUGGGAGUCCGGGCAUUCCAGGGCCCCCACUUACUGGCAACAUCACCCCAGCAGGCUCCUUAAUCUCCACGUGCCUCAGUUUCCUUAACUGUCAAAGGGGUGAGAGUCACCUCUUUGGGCUGCCGUGAUAGUGAGUGGGGUCCCGCGUUUAUUAUGAUGGGCUGUGGACGGAGGAGAGUUGGGAGGAGGCUGGCGUGGAGAGAGGAGGUGCUUGGGGGCUUCCUGCUCUGGCUUUGUGCUCCAUCCCCUGUGGGACUGAUGAGGAGACUGAGGCCCGAGAGGACCCAUGUUCUGUAAAAUAUCCCUCAAAUCCAGCCUCCUCUCUGCCCACUCCAGCCCCACCCCCACCACCAAGACCUCCCGGGUCUCCCAGCUUCUGCUCCAUCCCCGGGAGCCCAUUGCUUGAAACUCAUGACCCCACACGCAUUAACAUGGAUAUCAGGGUGCCCUGUGGGAGGACAAAUCCCUCUCUUUUUAGUGGGAGAAGCCGGCAGUGGCUUCGGGACUGGACAGGGCAUGAAGCCAGUACUCCCUGGGCACCGGCCCACGUUAAAUGUCUUCAUCCGAGCAUUCAGCAAGGGUUUAUUGAGCACCUGCCCUGUUCUAGCUUCUGUGGACACAGCCGUGCACAAGACACAAGAUUCCCACCUUGGGAGCCACAGUGGGAGAAGGUCGUGGAAAAGACAGAGAAGGUACGUGAUUGGGGGAUAUCAGAUAUUAUCCAAGGUGUCAAGAAACAAGACAGAAGGGAAAGAGGACUCACACGGGCGCGCGUUUAUACACGCGUGUGCAUGUGCGCCUGUUUGUACACGUGUGUGCGUCUGUGCCUGUUUGUACACGCGUGUGCGCGUGCGCCUGUGUUUGUGCACGUGUGUGCGUCUGUGCCUGUGUUUGUACACGCGUGUGCCUGUUUGUACACGCGUGUGCACGUGCAUCUGUGCCUGUGUUUGUACACGUGUGUGCGUCUGUGCCUGUGUUUGUACACGCGUGUGUGCCUGUUUGUACACGUGUGUGCGUCUGUGCCUGUGUUUGUACACGUGUGUGCGUCUGUGCCUGUGUUUGUACACGCAUGUGUGCCUGUGUUUGUACACGUGUGUGCGUCUGUGCCUGUGUUUGUACAUGUUGGGGGUCGAGGGUUGACCCUUUAAACGGGAAUCCAGGGAAGCCUCACGGAGGAGGCAACACUCACGCAGAGGCCUGAGGUGGAGGAGGAGAGAGCCGUGGAAAGAUCCAGAAGAAGCGUAUUCCAGGCAGAGGGCACAGCCGUGCAAAGGCCCCAGGACAGGAUCAUGCCUGGCGUGUUGGAGGAACAGCGAGGAGGCCCGUGUGGCUGAAGCAGAAUGAGGAGGGGGAGAGAGGGUGGAGGGAGGGCAGGAAGGGGACAGGGCAGGUGGUGCAGGUUCCUGUGGGUCCCCGGGAGGACUUGGGCUUUGACCCCAAGGCAGGAGCCGUGGAGCGCUGUGGGCAGGGAAGCGGUGGGACCUGUGCUGGGGGCUGGGUGCUCAGUAAAUACAUGUUGAGUUAAUGAAUGUCGCUUUGGCCGCGUGGGGGAAUCCAAUCCUCCCAGCGCCCCACAGCACAGGUGCUGCCCCCGUCCCCCCCCCCCCCCCCCCC